UACGUAGGGAGCAAGCGUUGUUCGGAUUUACUGGGCGUAAAGGGCGCGUAGGCGGCGCGGUAAGUCACUUGUGAAAUCUCUGAGCUUAACUCAGAACGGCCAAGUGAUACUGCAGUGCUAGAGUGCAGAAAGGGCAAUCGGAAUUCUUGGUGUAGCGGUGAAAUGCGUAGAUAUCAAGAGGAACACCUGAGGCGAAGGCGGGUUGCUAGGCUGACACUGACGUUGAGGCGCGAAAGCCAGGGGAGCAAACGGG
rnacentral:rRNA from 1 species